AUUCUCUGAAACCAAAUGACCAAAUCUUGGCUGAAGACAAGCACAAGGAGCUCCUUCAAGAUGGCGCGUCAGAAAGACAAGAAGCCCAAGAGGUCAACCUGGAAAUUUAAUUUGGACCUUACUCAUCCAGUAGAAGAUGGAAUUUUUGAUUCUGGAAAUUUUGAACAGUUUCUACGGGAGAAGGUUAAAGUCAAUGGAAAAACUGGAAAUCUUGGGAAUGUUGUUCACAUUGAACGCUCAAAAAUAAAAUCACAGUUGUUUCUGAGAAACAGUUCUCUAAAAGGUACUUGAAAUACCUUACCAAGAAAUACCUUAAGAAGAACAAUCUUCGUGAUUGGCUUCGAGUGGUUGCAUCUGAUAAGGAGACUUACGAACUUCGUUACUUCCAGAUUAAUCAAGAUGAAGAUGGAUCAGAAUCUGAGGACUAGGUGAAGCUUUUUCUUAUAGGGCUUGGCUUGCUGAUAACACAAAUGAAGCUUACACAAGAAAGAAACAUCUAAAAGUGGGGUUUCGGUUUAUCAGUGAAUAAAAUCAUCGCACUUAAAAAAAAAAAGAACCCUGGAACCCUAACCUCUCAGCAAAAAAGAAAGGUACUAGAAGGAAGAGUAUACUCUCCUAGGAGCAGGAAAUUUACAUUUGCCUUCUGGAACCAGUGGCACCCUCCUCCAUAGGACACCCUCCUAGGUCCUAAAUCGACACCCUCCUCCAUACCCAUGGACCCAUAGGAAUUGCUAAUACCUGACUGACAUGUCUGAUUUGAAAAUGGACUCACCUUCACACCAGGAUGGCCUUAAGUAACUUACUAUCUAACACAGGUAAAAAAAUUAAUUCUAAUAAAUACCAAAGCCACAGCUUCUGUUCUUCCUAAAUUUUAGAGACCUCUAUUCUCUCUUGUAUCUCCACGUUAAAAUAAAAAAUAAAAUACAAUCCCCCUUUAUGUAUUUCACAGUUUCUUAGUUCUCUAGGAGAUAAAGUUAUCUUGCUCAUCCUUUUAUUACUUUCCAGUUAGCCCCACCAGAUGGAUGGGGGUUAACUCCCCAAACCCUUUCCCAGUGUACCCCAAAUCCUUACAGUCCUGCCAACACCUGACUCAUCCCACUGAGGACAACUACGACCCUGUUCAGCCCGGAGCACUUUUGAAAGACUGACUGUCGUCCUCAUCACCCCUUUUAACAAGAGUAGCGAAUGUUAGGGGGCCUAAUGUUGCCCUACAAGAACCCUUCUGACCUUCUCCUCUCCUCCUGAAACAAUGAAUACAAAGGACCUAGUUAGCCCCACCCCCAAAGAAAAUCACUCCAAGUGACCCUAACCCACCAAAGCCCUCUGGGCAAGCUGUGGAAUUUGCUCACCCCUACUUCCCUGUGUAAAAGGGGUCUCUUAAGAUGGCAUAGACACCAUCUUUGCCCUGCCCAGGCGGUAGCUAUUGCUUUCGAUAAACCUGGCCUGAACAUCCCACUCCUGUUCUUGUCUCUUAUACUGCUGCAGCACCUUUAAUGGUAAAAUGUAUUUGUUUAAUGCAAAAGAGAAUUAAAAAAACCUGGCAAGUGAAAAGUCAAAAUUGAAGUAAAGAAGU